AAUCGGCGGAUAACGCCGCGGUGGCAGCGGCGGCUCCGCCGCCGGAGGCGGUGGCGCUCGAGUCCGAUUUCGUGGUGAUUCUGGCUGCUCUCCUGUGCGCUUUAAUCUGCGUGGUGGGACUUGUUGCGGUGGCGCGGUGCGCGUGGCUCCGGCGAGGUCCCGGCGGCGGAAACUCGCCGCGGCAGGCGGUGGUGAACAAGGGACUGAAGAAGAAGGUGCUGCAGUCGCUGCCGAAGUUCGCGUACGUGGACAGCAACCCGAGCAAGUGGGUGGCGACGUCGGAAUGCGUGAUUUGCCUGGGUGAUUUCGCCGCCGGCGACGAGAUUCGCGUGCUGCCGCAGUGCGGCCACGGCUUCCACGUGUCCUGCAUCGACGAGUGGCUGAGGUCCCACUCCUCCUGCCCUUCCUGCCGCC
rnacentral:lncRNA from 1 species